UAUAUACCUUAGUGGACCAUCUUUCUCCAAAGAUGUGGUACCAGGAAGGAAGAAUUGCUGAUCUACGGUACAUUUGAGUGAAGACCAGAUGUUGACUGAGCCUGGGACACUGGGUACAUUGCUGCACCAGCAGAAUAAUGCCCUGAGAUUUCUUCAAAGCCAGCUUUCUUGGAGUCAAGAGGAAUGGUCUAUGACCAGGUAAAAUCCU
rnacentral:lncRNA from 1 species